GAUGAACGCUGGCCGCGUGCCUAAUACAUGCAAGUCGAGCGAACGGACGAGAAGCUUGCUUCUCUGAUGUUAGCGGCGGACGGGUGAGUAACACGUGGAUAACCUACCUAUAAGACUGGGAUAACUUCGGGAAACCGGAGCUAAUACCGGAUAAUAUUUUGAACCGCAUGGUUCAAAAGUGAAAGACGGUCUUGCUGUCACUUAUAGAUGGAUCCGCGCUGCAUUAGCUAGUUGGUAAGGUAACGGCUUACCAAGGCAACGAUGCAUAGCCGACCUGAGAGGGUGAUCGGCCACACUGGAACUGAGACACGGUCCAGACUCCUACGGGAGGCAGCAGUAGGGAAUCUUCCGCAAUGGGCGAAAGCCUGACGGAGCAACGCCGCGUGAGUGAUGAAGGUCUUCGGAUCGUAAAACUCUGUUAUUAGGGAAGAACAUAUGUGUAAGUAACUGUGCACAUCUUGACGGUACCUAAUCAGAAAGCCACGGCUAACUACGUG
rnacentral:rRNA from 1 species